rnacentral:lncRNA from 1 species
UUUUAAAAAAAGAAAGGGGCUGGGCGCAGUGGCUUACAUCUGUAAUCUCAGCACUUUGGGAGACUGAGAGAAAAUUAAUUCCAGUUGGUGUUCUGGGCAGAAAUGAAGAGGAGGAGGAAGAAGACAAAGCAGCUUCUCCCCUUUCCUUUGCACUGAGGGCAGGCCCACGCCACUUUCUCUGGUGUGGCCACACCAUCGUCCACACGCAAAACAAAACUUUCAUAAGAAGAAGAGAGAAUACUAGAGACUAACAAGCUAAGUUUUCAGCCUGGAAAAGUCAUGAAAUAGAAGCAAAAAGUAAAAAAUUGCAUCCAAAAGCCACGAAAAGAAGAAUCCUGAGAAACAAACAAAUAUCUGAAAAGAUGUUGUCUCCCUGCAAAUGCAAAGUUAAAUACAAAUUUGGAAAACAAGUAGAAACCUUUCAGAUGUCUGGUUGAAAGGUUUAAAAAAUAAUCUUUAAUUGAAAAAUUCUGCUCUGUGUGUGUGGAUGUGAAAAUAUCCUUAAAUUAUCUUCAGGAAUUGGACUAUAAGGCUCAGUCAAUAAAAAUUCCAACACUAGAAUAAUUUUCCUAUUGAGAUAGAAAAAUGUUUGGUCUUAGGAAAGCCAAGAGAAAGCAGG